rnacentral:rRNA from 1 species
UCCACGCAGUAAACGGUGAAUGUUAGUCGUCGGGGGCCUAGUGUCUUCGGUGAUGCAGCUAACGCAUUAAACAUUCCGCCUGGGGAGUACGGUCGCAAGAUUAAAACUCAAAGGAAUAGACGGGGACCCGCACAAGUGGUGGAGCAUGUGGUUUAAUUCGAAGAUACGCGAAGAACCUUACCUAGCCUUGACAUUGAAGAAACACACUAGAGAUAGAGUGGUGCCCUUCGGGG